GUGGGGAAUUUUGGACAAUGGGCGCAAGCCUGAUCCAGCAAUGCCGCGUGCAGGAAGAAGGCCUUCGGGUUGUAAACUGCUUUUGUACGGAACGAAACGGUCCUGGUUAAUACCUGGGGCUAAUGACGGUACCGUAAGAAUAAGCACCGGCUAACUACGUGCCAGCAGCCGCGGUAAUACGUAGGGUGCGAGCGUUAAUCGGAAUUACUGGGCGUACAGCGUGCGCAGGCGGUGCUGUAAGACAGGCGUGAAAUCCCCGGGCUCAACCUGGGAAUUGCGGUUGGGACUGCAGUGCUGGAGUGCGGCAGAGGGGGAUGGAAUUCCGCGUGUAGCAGUGAAAUGCGUAGAUAUGCGGAGGAACACCGAUGGCGAAGGCAAUCCCCUGGGCCUGCACUGACGCUCAUGCACGAAAGCGUGGGGAGCAAACAGGAUUAGAUACCCGGGUAGUCC
rnacentral:rRNA from 1 species